rfam:Nematostella vectensis strain CH2 x CH6 NEMVEscaffold_557_Cont30028, whole genome shotgun sequence.
GCCUCCGUGGCCUAAUGGAUAAGGCGUCGGCCUCCUAAACGGGAGCCGGGUGAGCUCUGUGUAAGCCGAAGAUUGCGGGUUCGAGUCCCGUCGGGGGUG